AAGUCGUAACAAGGUUUCCGUAGGUGAACCUGCGGAAGGAUCAUUAACACGUAUCCACGUAUCAACCAACUGCGAACCUGUUCUCACCUCUCCCUGCCGGUUACAUGAAUUGGAAUUGAGGGUGCAUUUUUAUGAUGGGGCUAGCCCAAAUGCACUCACUACCACCUGUCGCAGCAAUGCGACUGACAAUUGGAGUAACAGUCAGGCCAACCUUCUGCUAUCGCCUCGUACCGUCAUUUCGAGCGAUAGUGGGAACACACAUACUCACCUAUUUCACCCCCCUUUUUGCUAGUUGACUUUUAUAUGUUGUCUCAGUGCGGUACGCUCGUAUUCGCUGGAACACACGUUUAUUAUUUGAACGUUAAAAUUACAACUCUUAGCAAUGGAUAUCUUGGUUCUC
rnacentral:misc_RNA from 1 species